rnacentral:pre_miRNA from 1 species
AGUUGGGUUACUGGGUUAAAUGGUGGUGGUUUCAUUCCUACUUUUUUGAGGAAUCUCCAUACUACUUUCCAGAGUGGUUGGACCAAUUUGUAGUUCCUCCAGCAAC